rfam:Burkholderia fungorum strain ATCC BAA-463 chromosome 1, complete sequence.
GUGCGUCUUCAGGGCGGGGUGAAAUUCCCCACCGGCGGUAUGCCGGCAGCGCGAAAGCGUGAACCGGUGAGCCCGCGAGCGCCCGUGUCGUCAAUGUAUUUGGCGCUGUGCAACUACGUUGCAUGGGACCAGAGUAAGCGCCAAAGCGCUAACUCUGAUCGACAUGGGGUCAGCAGAUCUGGUGAGAAGCCAGAGCCGACGGUUAGAGUCCGGAUGGAAGAAGAUGUGC